rnacentral:rRNA from 1 species
ACCGAAAGAAAAGGAGUGGCGAACGGGUGAGUAACACGUGGGUAACCUGCCCAUCAGAAGGGGAUAACACUUGGAAACAGGUGCUAAUACCGUAUAACAAUCGAAACCGCAUGGUUUUGAUUUGAAAGGCGCUUUCGGGUGUCGCUGAUGGAUGGACCCGCGGUGCAUUAGCUAGUUGGUGAGGUAACGGCUCACCAAGGCCACGAUGCAUAGCCGACCUGAGAGGGUGAUCGGCCACAUUGGGACUGAGACACGGCCCAAACUCCUACGGGAGGCAGCAGUAGGGAAUCUUCGGCAAUGGACGAAAGUCUGACCGAGCAACGCCGCGUGAGUGAAGAAGGUUUUCGGAUCGUAAAACUCUGUUGUUAGAGAAGAACAAGGAUGAGAGUAACUGUUCAUCCCUUGACGGUAUCUAACCAGAAAGCCACGGCUAACUACGUGCCAGCAGCCGCGGUAAUACGUAGGUGGCAAGCGUUGUCCGGAUUUAUUGGGCGUAAAGCGAGCGCAGGCGGUUUCUUAAGUCUGAUGUGAAAGCCCCCGGCUCAACCGGGGAGGGUCAUUGGAAACUGGGAGACUUGAGUGCAGAAGAGGAGAGUGGAAUUCCAUGUGUAGCGGUGAAAUGCGUAGAUAUAUGGAGGAACACCAGUGGCGAAGGCGACUCUCUGGUCUGUAACUGACGCUGAGGCUCGAAAGCGUGGGGAGCAAACAGGAUUAGAUACCCUGGUAGUCCACGCCGUAAACGAUGAGUGCUAAGUGUUGGAGGGUUUCCGCCCUUCAGUGCUGCAGCUAACGCAUUAAGCACUCCGCCUGGGGAGUACGACCGCAAGGUUGAAACUCAAAGGAAUUGACGGGGGCCCGCACAAGCGGUGGAGCAUGUGGUUUAAUUCGAAGCAACGCGAAGAACCUUACCAGGUCUUGACAUCCUUUGACCACUCUAGAGAUAGAGCUUCCCCUUCGGGGGCAAAGUGACAGGUGGUGCAUGGUUGUCGUCAGCUCGUGUCGUGAGAUGUUGGGUUAAGUCCCGCAACGAGCGCAACCCUUAUUGUUAGUUGCCAUCAUUUAGUUGGGCACUCUAGCAAGACUGCCGGUGACAAACCGGAGGAAGGUGGGGAUGACGUCAAAUCAUCAUGCCCCUUAUGACCUGGGCUACACACGUGCUACAAUGGGAAGUACAACGAGUCGCGAAGUCGCGAGGCUAAGCUAAUCUCUUAAAGCUUCUCUCAGUUCGGAUUGUAGGCUGCAACUCGCCUACAUGAAGCCGGAAUCGCUAGUAAUCGCGGAUCAGCACGCCGCGGUGAAUACGUUCCCGGGCCUUGUACACACCGCCCGUCACACCACGAAAGUUUGUAACACCCGAAGUCGGUGAGGUAACCUUUUUGGAGCCAGCCGCCUAAGGUGGGAUAGAUGAUUGGGGUGAAGUC